GGACUCGUAGCUCAGCUGGAUAGAGCAUCUGCCUUCUAAGCAGACGGUCCUGAGUUCGAAUCUCAGCGAGUUCA
rnacentral:tRNA from 1 species